rnacentral:lncRNA from 1 species
CCCCACGCAACUCCAAACUAGACUCUUUCAACCCUUUGAAUAGGGUGAUAUAACAUUGUUUUUCACUUCUUGGUUUGUAAUGAGUUUUAAACAAAAAAAGGAUAAUAGGCUCAAGGAAGUUUCAAACAAGGGAUGCUAUUAUUUCAGGGUUGGAUUUUUGGCUAACUGGCUAAAAAAACAAAAAACAAAAUUGCCUUUAUCAUAUCAGUGUGCACAAGUAAACAACAACAUCAACAAGAGUCAAUUCAAGUUCUAGAG